rnacentral:rRNA from 1 species
GACGAACGCUGGCGGCGUGCUUAACACAUGCAAGUCGAACGCUGAAGCACCAGCUUGCUGGUGUGGAUGAGUGGCGAACGGGUGAGUAAUACGUGAGUAACCUGCCCUUGACUCUGGGAUAAGCCCGGGAAACUGGGUCUAAUACUGGAUGCUACAUGUCACCGCAUGGUGGUGUGUGGAAAGGGUUUACUGGUCUUGGAUGGGCUCACGGCCUAUCAGCUUGUUGGUGAGGUAAUGGCUCACCAAGGCGACGACGGGUAGCCGGCCUGAGAGGGUGACCGGCCACACUGGGACUGAGACACGGCCCAGACUCCUACGGGAGGCAGCAGUGGGGAAUAUUGCCCAAUGGGCGAAAGCCUGAUGCAGCGACGCCGCGUGAGGGAUGACGGCCUUCGGGUUGUAAACCUCUUUCAGCAGGGAAGAAGCCACAAGUGACGGUACCUGCAGAAGAAGCGCCGGCUAACUACGUG